AAAAUAAAUGUGUUUAAAGUGAGAUGCUCACAUUUGUCUUACAAAAGUAUUUGUCAGAAAUCAAACAGAAAAAUAAAACCCUGACACUGUGGCUCCAACCUGCAUCAGAAUGCAAAACAAGAACGCUGACUCUUCUUUUUACGGAUAUUCCACAAAUGUUGCAUGGACAGAGACAAAUGGUCCCAUGUUAAACGCAUCAGCAAGUUUAUAUCAUUUGAAAGCUGAACAUCAUGUUCAUGAAGAUUAAAAUCCAGAUGUCAUCUCAUUACUUUACGCUGCGACAGCCCUGAGCUCAGCAUCUCCUCCAUACAACUCUGCUGCCUAUAAAUACUGAUGAGGACACCUUCAACAUUCAUCAGCUGGCUGACUGACUGAACAGAGAGAUCCAGGAUGAUCAUGAAGAUCCUCGCUGUCUUCGUCCUCGUCUUUCUCACAGGUUGUAAUGGUGGACACCAUGAACACCCAUCCAAAUUCCAGGUAGAAAUGGUGCAGGAUGCUUACUGGAGAUAUGUUCAGAAAUCCACCAGUACUCCCUGGGAGUAUGUAGAGGACAUCAGGGAUUCCCCUCCAGGACAGUA